rnacentral:tRNA from 1 species
UGAUGUAGCUCAGUAGGUAGAGCGCAUCCUUGGUAAGGAUGAGGUCGCCGGUUCGAAUCCGGCCAUCA